rnacentral:rRNA from 1 species
UGGGGAAUUUUGCACAAUGGGCGCAAGCCUGAUGCAGCGACGCCGCGUGAGGGAUGAAGGCCUUCGGGUUGUAAACCUUUUUCGCUCAUGGUCAAGCCGCAGCUUUGGGUUGUGGUGAGGGUAGUGGGUAAAGAAGCGCCGGCUAACUACGUGCCAGCAGCCGCGGUAAUACGUAGGGCGCGAGCGUUGUCCGGAAUUAUUGGGUGUAAAGGGCUUGUAGGCGGUUGGCCGCGUCUGCCGUGAAAUCCUCUGGCUUAACUGGGGGCGUGCGGUGGGUACGGGUUGACUUGAGUGCGGUAGGGGAGAGUGGAAUUCCAUGUGUAGCGGUGAAAUGCGUAGGUAUAUGGAGGAACACCGGUGGCGAAAGCGGCUCUCUGGUCUGUAACUGACGCUGAGGCUCGAAAGCGUGGGGAGCGAACAGG